AUACGGAGGGUGCAAGCGUUGUUCGGAAUUACUGGGCGUAAAGCGCGCGUAGGCGGUCUGUUAUGUCAGAUGUGAAAGUCCUCGGCUCAACCGGGGAAGUGCAUUUGAAACUGGCAGACUUGAGUACUGGAGGGGGUGGUGGAAUUCCCGGUGUAGAGGUGAAAUUCGUAGAUAUCGGGAGGAAUACCGGUGGCGAAGGCGACCACCUGGCCAGAUACUGACGCUGAGGUGCGAAAGCGUGGGGAGCAAACAGGAUUAGAUACCCGGGUAGUCC
rnacentral:rRNA from 1 species